ACCUGAAACCGUGUACGUACAAGCAGUGGGAGCACGCUUAGGCGUGUGACUGCGUACCUUUUGUAUAAUGGGUCAGCGACUUAUAUUCUGUAGCAAGGUUAACCGAAUAGGGGAGCCGAAGGGAAACCGAGUCUUAACUGGGCGUUAAGUUGCAGGGUAUAGACCCGAAACCCGGUGAUCUAGCCAUGGGCAGGUUGAAGGUUGGGUAACACUAACUGGAGGACCGAACCGACUAAUGUUGAAAAAUUAGCGGAUGACUUGUGGCUGGGGGUGAAAGGCCAAUCAAACCGGGAGAUAGCUGGUUCUCCCCGAAAGCUAUUUAGGUAGCGCCUCGUGAAUUCAUCUCCGGGGGUAGAGCACUGUUUCGGCAAGGGGGUCAUCCCGACUUACCAACCCGAUGCAAACUGCGAAUACCGGAGAAUGUUAUCACGGGAGACACACGGCGGGUGCUAACGUCCGUCGUGAAGAGGGAAACAACCCAGACCGCCAGCUAAGGUCCCAAAGUCAUGGUUAAGUGGGAAACGAUGUGGGAAGGCCCAGACAGCCAGGAUGUUGGCUUAGAAGCAGCCAUCAUUUAAAGAAAGCGUAAUAGCUCACUGGUCGAGUCGGCCUGCGCGGAAGAUGUAACGGGGCUAAACCAUGCACCGAAGCUGCGGCAGCGACGCUUAUGCGUUGUUGGGUAGGGGAGCGUUCUGUAAGCCUGCGAAGGUGUGCUGUGAGGCAUGCUGGAGGUAUCAGAAGUGCGAAUGCUGACAUAAGUAACGAUAAAGCGGGUGAAAAGCCCGCUCGCCGGAAGACCAAGGGUUCCUGUCCAACGUUAAUCGGGGCAGGGUGAGUCGACCCCUAAGGCGAGGCCGAAAGGCGUAGUCGAUGGGAAACAGGUUAAUAUUCCUGUACUUGGUGUUACUGCGAAGGGGGGACGGAGAAGGCUAUGUUGGCCGGGCGACGGUUGUCCCGGUUUAAGCGUGUAGGCUGGUUUUCCAGGCAAAUCCGGAAAAUCAAGGCUGAGGCGUGAUGACGAGGCACUACGGUGCUGAAGCAACAAAUGCCCUGCUUCCAGGAAAAGCCUCUAAGCAUCAGGUAACAUCAAAUCGUACCCCAAACCGACACAGGUGGUCAGGUAGAGAAUACCAAGGCGCUUGAGAGAACUCGGGUGAAGGAACUAGGCAAAAUGGUGCCGUAACUUCGGGAGAAGGCACGCUGAUAUGUAGGUGAAGUCCCUUGCGGAUGGAGCUGAAAUCAGUCGAAGAUACCAGCUGGCUGCAACUGUUUAUUAAAAACACAGCACUGUGCAAACACGAAAGUGGACGUAUACGGUGUGACGCCUGCCCGGUGCCGGAAGGUUAAUUGAUGGGGUCAGCGCAAGCGAAGCUCUUGAUCGAAGCCCCGGUAAACGGCGGCCGUAACUAUAACGGUCCUAAGGUAGCGAAAUUCCUUGUCGGGUAAGUUCCGACCUGCACGAAUGGCGUAAUGAUGGCCAGGCUGUCUCCACCCGAGACUCAGUGAAAUUGAACUCGCUGUGAAGAUGCAGUGUACCCGCGGCAAGACGGAAAGACCCCGUGAACCUUUACUAUAGCUUGACACUGAACAUUGAGCCUUGAUGUGUAGGAUAGGUGGGAGGCUUUGAAGUGUGGACGCCAGUCUGCAUGGAGCCGGCCUUGAAAUACCACCCUUUAAUGUUUGAUGUUCUAACGUGGACCCGUGAUCCGGGUUGCGGACAGUGUCUGGUGGGUAGUUUGACUGGGGCGGUCUCCUCCUAAAGAGUAACGGAGGAGCACGAAGGUUGGCUAAUCCUGGUCGGACAUCAGGAGGUUAGUGCAAUGGCAUAAGCCAGCUUGACUGCGAGCGUGACGGCGCGAGCAGGUGCGAAAGCAGGUCAUAGUGAUCCGGUGGUUCUGAAUGGAAGGGCCAUCGCUCAACGGAUAAAAGGUACUCCGGGGAUAACAGGCUGAUACCGCCCAAGAGUUCAUAUCGACGGCGGUGUUUGGCACCUCGAUGUCGGCUCAUCACAUCCUGGGGCUGAAGUAGGUCCCAAGGGUAUGGCUGUUCGCCAUUUAAAGUGGUACGCGAGCUGGGUUUAGAACGUCGUGAGACAGUUCGGUCCCUAUCUGCCGUGGGCGCUGGAGAACUGAGGGGGGCUGCUCCUAGUACGAGAGGACCGGAGUGGACGCAUCACUGGUGUUCGGGUUGUCAUGCCAAUGGCACUGCCCGGUAGCUAAAUGCGGAAGAGAUAAGUGCUGAAAGCAUCUAAGCACGAAACUUGCCCCGAGAUGAGUUCUCCCUGACCCUUUAAGGGUCCUGAAGGAACGUUGAAGACGACGACGUUGAUAGGCCGGGUGUGUAAGCGCAGCGAUGCGUUGAGCUAACCGGUACUAAUGAACCGUGAGG
rnacentral:rRNA from 1 species